GAGGGUAUAGCUCAGUGGUAGAGCACAUGCUUAACAUGUAUGAGGUCCUGGGUUCAAUCCCCAGUACCUCCA
rnacentral:tRNA from 1 species